AGACGGGACGAUGCAUUUACCUAUCCCUUUCGACAACUAUCCUUUGCUCCACACCUGCUAUACUGGUCAGCGACAGAGACUGGAGGAUUUGUCAAGAGGAAAAUGCGAUUCCAACUGCCUAAUGAUCAAUGGCAUAGUUUCCCACAUAGGAGACCAACUUGCGAAGCUGUGGCAGAAAGAGAAAGGAGGGACUGGGAAAUAUCCCCCUCCCAGUUUACAUGCACUGCUGGAUCUCUAUUGGAAAGCAUAGAAAAACCCUACAAACAUGUGAUUGUAUCCUUUCUGGUUAUUUUAAAUGCACCUCAGGAUAUGUACAAAAAUGUUCUUAAAUGUUUGUCUCCUACGUGCUUAAGAAGGGAUUUUAAUUUACUCCUCAAACACAAAGCUAGUGAAAACAUUUGGUUUAGAAUUAAGUCAUAGACAGAAGCAUUGUUAUACUUUUUAGUCCUGUGGAGUUUUUAUGAUUUUUUUUUUCAGUGUUUUGUUGCCACGUCUUUUCUCCUAUGAGAGAAUGGGUUUACUAAGAAAUGUUAAAGGCAAAAAGCCCCAUUAGUUUUUCUUCUGGAAAUUUACACACAGUUUUUAAUUUUUAGAUCACUGAUACAUGUAGCAAAUGGCUUCUUGCUAGAAUGACGCACUGAAACCUGCUGCUGCAGAACAAAGGGAUUUCUAACAGUGGCUUAGAGUCCAGCAGGUAGCUCCACUGACUGUAGAGGGAGCCUGAGUUUAUAACAGAAGUAUUUAAAUAUCUAAAGCUAAAAUUUAUGGAUGCUUUACAAAAAUCAAAGUGUACUUCCUCCAGGUUACUUCUUCAGAAUACAAUUUUGUGGUUAGAAGCUGGCUGUCUCCUGGUUAAGAGUUUAAAACUGCAAGACUAAAACAUUAGUAUUUCCUGCUUCCUGCCACUUUUAUAUUCUUAUUUCACUGAGUUUUUAUAAAGGUAGUGGGAUAAACUUGUUGGUCUUCCAGAUUUGUUAGCCUUAAUUAUAUAUCAGACUUGCGGCAAGGUAUCUUGAAGUGCUGGCUAAAUAAAACCAAAAUGAUAGUCAAUUCUUUUGCGACUGUCUUUGCUCUCCUUCAGGGCCUUGUUAAACUGAUUGAAGGGUUUUGGCUGCUUGACCGCAAGCAUUAUAAAGUAAGUAUGUUACCGUUUAGUUGCACAUACACUACCAUACAAAGCUCUCCUCUAUAAAAUUAUUUUCAGAAAUUGCUGCUUAGCUAGUAACAGGUACUAAAACACAAUAGGCUUUUUUCAUAGUCCUGCUAUGACAUCUUCAGCAAUUAGUUACGAUUUGAGAUUCUGUUUCAAUACCUUGGACAGGAAAUUGAUAAAAACAAAUAAGAAAUCAACUUGAACAAUGCCUGCCAGUUGAAUUUUCAAAGCCAUCCAAUUAAGGUGUUUUCAGUAAACCAGUUGAGCACUUUCUCAAAAACAGUGGUUUAGGUACUUUCAAUAUUAAAACGAGGAUCCUAGCUGCAAGAUUUGAGCUGGAAGACUCCAAAAGCGACUUUUCAACCUAAUUCAUGUUCUUUCUGAUGCUGAAGGUCAUAUUUUGCCUAUCAUGAUGUUAAUAGAAUCUGCUUGUCUGGGAGAACAAUUUAUUAU